rnacentral:rRNA from 1 species
UACGUAGGGUGCGAGCGUUAAUCGGAAUUACUGGCGUAAAGCGUGCGCAGGCGGCGCGUUAAGACAGGUGUGAAAGCCCCGAGCUUAACUUGGGAAUUGCGCUUGUGACUGGCGUGCUGGAGUGUGGCAGAGGGAGGUGGAAUUGCCGGUGUAGUGGUGAAAUGCGUAGAGAUCGGCAGGAACACCCAAGGGGAAACCAGACGACUGGGCCGCUCCUGACACUCAGGUGCGACAGCGUGGGGAGCCAACCGG